rnacentral:rRNA from 1 species
CCUACGGGAGGCAGCAGUAAGGAAUAUUGGUCAAUGGAGGCAACUCUGAACCAGCCAUGCCGCGUGCAGGAAGAAGGCCCUAUGGGUCGUAAACUGCUUUUGUACCAGAGAAAACCCGAGUACGUGUACUCGGUUGAUAGUAUGGUAAGAAUAAGCAUCGGCUAACUUCGUGCCAGCAGCCGCGGUAAGACGAAGGAUGCAAGCGUUAUCCGGAUUCAUUGGGUUUAAAGGGUGCGUAGGCGGACUGAUAAGUCAGUGGUGAAAUCUCUCGGCUUAACCGAGAAACUGCCAUUGAUACUGUUAGUCUAGAGUAUAGAUGACGUUGGCGGAAUAUGACAUGUAGUGGUGAAAUACUUAGAUAUGUCAUAGAACACCGAUUGCGAAGGCAGCUAACGAAACUAUAACUGACGCUGAGGCACGAAAGUGCGGGGGAUCAAACAGGAUUAGAUACCCUGGUAGUCCGCACCGUAAACGAUGAUUACUCGUUGUUGGCAAUAUGACCGUCAGCGACCAAGCGAAAGCGAUAAGUAAUCCACCUGGGGAGUACGCCGGCAACGGUGAAACUAAAUAGAAUUGACGGCGUGAGACGAGCGACGGACGACGACGAGGGAGGAGG